rnacentral:rRNA from 1 species
GACGAACGCUGGCGGCGUGCUUAACACAUGCAAGUCGAGCGGUAAGGCCCUUUCGGGGGUACACGAGCGGCGAACGGGUGAGUAACACGUGGGUGACCUGCCCUUAGCUCUGGGAUAAGCCUGGGAAACUGGGUCUAAUACCGGAUAUGACUCCAUGACGCAUGUUGUGGGGUGAAAGCCUUGUGCGGCUAGGGAUGGGCCCGNGGCCUAUCAGCUUGGUUGGUGGGGUNAUGGCCACCGAAGGCGACGACGGGUAGCCGGCCUGAGAGGGCGACCGGCCACACUGGGACUGAGACACGGCCCAGACUCCUACGGGAGGCAGCAGUGGGGAAUCUUGCGCAAUGGGCGAAAGCCUGACGCAGCGACGCCGCGUGAGGGAUGACGGCCUGGU